rnacentral:lncRNA from 1 species
GCCAUUUUUUUAUUUCACAAAUUUCUAUUAUAGAUUUGGACUGGAUUGAAAAUAACUAAAUGAAGUACUAUUCAGAACAAACCCAGAGAAGACAACUGGAACAUACAACCUGUGACUAUAGAGGGCCGGAAUGGGACUCAUUUUCAUCCAUGGAGUUCCUGUUACGAACGUACACACAAAUAGAGAGAUCCAAAUAAUCGUAAUCCAGUCAGACCAAAGCUCAUGGAAGAACCAUCAGAAGACCCUUGACGAACAACUAAAGAGCAACUACAGGAUGUAAAGUCUACCCUUAAUAAGUUAACAUGAAGACAUGAAGCAGAAAAAUGUGGUUGUGACUGAAGGCGACACAGGGAAGUGACAAAUAAGAUUGUUUUAAUUAAACAAAUUGCUUGAUCUGCUUUUAUGGCUAUUUAUUUAUUUAUUUGUUCUUAAAGCCUGUAAUAAGCAUGUAAUACAUUUGCUGUUACAAUAUUAGACAAUAUUUGUUAAAAUAAAAGUUUGUGACUCCUACUGAUUAGAUCCAAAAAUAAUUAUCAUAUAUACAUUUAAUAUAUAGUUAAACAAUAUAUGCUUCAUUUGUAAUUUUUUUUUUUUUUUGUUAGCCGUCUUUUUUUAUUUAUUCAUAUACAUUUUUUACUUCUAGUCUUUGGAGGACCUCCGUUAGAUGGCGCACCCUUUUGUAAUCAGUUGUGGAAAAGCAGAUGCGCAAUGGGUACAUUGCACUGUCUCCCUCGUCAACCCUCAGUGGGUCAAAUUAAGGUAUUUGUGUUUGUGGGAUGGUCUGUACUUACGUUUGAUGUCAAAAAAAUAUUUGACUCAUUGUUUUUAAUAAUUAUAACCAUAAACAGCUUACAAUAAUGCUUAUAUCUGACAGUUCUAGCACUGUGUUAACACUUAUCGAAUGUACUUUU